GACACCAACAGACCAAUACAAUUCCCCUCAGCCAAAUAGCCUAAUUCAUUGCACAUGCCAGAAAUACAAAGAGCUUAGCUUACACAUGAAAGCUAUUUCUGUUACUAAAUCAAUAGGAAGAAAAUACAGAGGAAAGCUUUCAAGACUACAAGAAAAAGCUGACAACAAGAAAAAAAUACAUGUGAUGACAGACCAGUGACAUCCAGACCCUUCCGUGGCCACUGCGGCCAUAACUCUGAAGUGCAUGCACCAUGAACCCCACAAGGCACAAGAGGUUCUCACAAAACAGACGUUGGCAGGCCAUCAGAGAGAAUGGUCCCUGCUAACUCUCCUGAGCAGUCAUCAGGUUGGAAUAACGUUGCCAAUCAGA